GNUGACGCUGGCGGCAGGCCUAAACAUGCAAGUCGAGCGGUAACAUUUCUAGCUUGCUAGAAGAUGACGAGCGGCGGACGGGUGAGUAAUGCUUGGGAACAUGCCUUUAGGUGGGGGACAACCAUUGGAAACGAUGGCUAAUACCGCAUAAUGUCUACGGACCAAAGGGGGCUUCGGCUCUCGCCUUUAGAUUGGCCCAAGUGGGAUUAGNUAGUUGGUGAGGUAAUGGCUCACCAAGGCGACGAUCCCUAGCUGGUUUGAGAGGAUGAUCAGCCACACUGGAACUGAGACACGGUCCAGACUCCUACGGGAGGCAGCAGUGGGGAAUAUUGCACAAUGGGCGCAAGCCUGAUGCAGCCAUGCCGCGUGUGUGAAGAAGGCCUUCGGGUUGUAAAGCACUUUCAGUUGUGAGGAAAGGUUAGUAGUUAAUACCUGCUAGCUGUGACGUUAGCAACAGAAGAAGCACCGGCUAACUCCGUGCCAGCCAGCCGCGGUAAUACGGAGGGUGCGAGCGUUAAUCGGAAUUACUGGGCGUAAAGCGUACGCAGGCGGUUUGUUAAGCGAGAUGUGAAAGCCCCGGGCUCAACCUGGGAACUGCAUUUCGAACUGGCAAACUAGAGUGUGAUAGAGGGUGGUAGAAUUUCAGGUGUAGCGGUGAAAUGCGUAGAGAUCUGAAGGAAUACCGAGGCGAAGGCAGCCACCUGGGCAACACUGACGCUCAUGACGAAAGCGUGGGACAAC
rnacentral:rRNA from 1 species